UUCGACGGAGCAGGGUGUUUUCCGCUCAUUCGGAUGCUGAUUUUUACGGUUUCCACAAGCAAAUAAAAAACGCGCAACAAGUUUCUCACCGAUCAUUCCCAGAACGAGAACUGUUUGCACUCGUUAGACACUAUCAAGUAGUUUUGAGUAGUUUUGCGUACUUUCCGGUUCAAUCAUACGGAACGGAACCGUAACAGCAGUGGACAUUUGAAAUUUCCCACCGAGGAACAAAAGAGUGAACUUGGAAUGAUUAAUUAAGCCUCGGUGCUUCCGAGGGACCAACAAGUAGUCAAACCAAACCCAUACAUUAAAAGUGAGGGAUCCCUCUUGAAGUUGUGACGAGCAGGAGUGUCCAGCCAAGCUUUAAGAGCUGGCGAAUUUUCCACAACCGCAGUGUGCAGGUGUUCCAUCAUCAACCAUUUCCCUCCCUUUUUUUGUUGUAGGCGCGCAUUUUCCCAACUCUUGCUGUUAGUGUGUGGGAGCAAAAGGUGUUCGCCGUUUGGGAAAAACUGUUUGUUCUUUGGCUCUGGCUGUUUGCACAGGAUUAAUUUCGCUUUCGACGGUACAUUUUUGUCGGACUCUCAACAUCAACAAAACGUGCGCGCGCGAAACAAAUUUGUGUAAAUCAACUCAAUUUAAAUAGAGAGCGAAGGAAGUGUUUUCCACCAAUGGUGGGGUGGGUGUUCGGAAAAUGACAUAGAAAAUCGCAUCAACAGCCUGCCACGGAAUGCGUGGCCUGGCGCCAAACAGGGGAGUGUCAUAUCGUAGUAACACAAAGUGAAUAGUGGGUGCUGCGAGGGUAUGGGAGGACAUCUGCUAUCAAAUCAAUUGGAUUUUUAUGAUUGCACAUGCAGCGUGCCUCCGCUUCGGCACACAGUGUGAUUGGUGGUAAACAGAGAUGUGAGAAGCUCAAUGUGCAUCAUCUGGUCGACCAGUGCAAAGUACAAACGCAAUCAUGUGUUAAUUUGAAAUUAUACUGCUAACGAGUGAAUAAUUGGUUUAUCGCUGAACUCACUUACAGCACUGACGAAGACACAAGGCAACGAUGAUAUUUUUACUAAUUAACAAUCAUAAAUUAUAGAAAGCCAAUGUAAUCACCAUUAUCGGAAAAGAUUGUGCGUGGAUAGCUGCAGGGACCAACGCAAACACAGAGUUCAUAAAUUGGAGCCAAUCCUUUACGUGUCCGUAGCGCUGUCUUCCCCGAGCAACUCAACAUGUUUUCCCCUCUGAGGACGACGUGCAACGAUACAGCGAAUCGGGUCCCCGGACAGCAGCGGAAAACGAGUUGCGACGACAUCGGCGGAACCACCAGACAGCGUGUGUUCCCAACUUCGUCAUGUUCCACCGCCAAAACCGUCUGGGAAUCAAUUCAAUGCUAACUAAUUAGCAGCAAUUCACUCUGUAUAUUAAGGGUUCGGUAGCAAUAAAAGGCGAAACAAAACCAUACAAACUUAGCCAACGCACUCCGAAGCACCACCAUGGAGGGGGAAGUAAGCAUACUUUUGGUGAUAACAGUCAUAAUUGGCACGGUACUAAUGACGUCCCUGCUGGCGUGCUACAUCUGUGUGUUUCGGCAGCUGUGUUGCUCUGCCGAUAGUGACCUGGACCGAAGCUACAGCCAGCGGAGUUCCAAACGCACGUACACUCUGCGGGACAGCACCAAUAUGGUCGAGAUUACCAACAUCACGAAAUCGGAACUGACGGAAAUCGAAAAAGUCUAGCAGAGGACGGGCGAAGCUAGUACUUCGCUCUGACAGCUUCUGAUGAUAAUACUGGGAAAAAACCAAAACCAUGGUAAAUGUUAAUGGUAUUGGCCUGAUGAACUUAAUGUGUGAGGAUUUAAUUUAAGCGCAUAAUGUGAAUAGAUGAGAGUAAGGAAACGUGAAACGAUGAAAAUCAAAGCUAAAUUUAUGAAAUUAAAAAAGAAGAAAACAACGCAAAACUUUUGUACCAACCUUGCAUUUUUUUUAUAUAGGAUCUAUUUAUUCGUGGAAUUAACACAUACAAUGAUAGCAAGCGCUUAUCUUAACCUUUGAGGAUGCGGUCAUUCUUUACUUUAUGUUAAAUCAAGUGUGUGCACAAAAAACUAAUUUCUUGCCACGAAAAGGAUAAAACCUGUAUAAUUGAUUUUCAAGGUGUAAUUCUAUAUUUUAAAUACACCAACUAUGCAUUGUA